GAUGAACGCUGGCGGCGUGCCUAAUACAUGCAAGUCGAGCGAACGGACGAGAAGCUUGCUUCUCUGAUGUUAGCGGCGGACGGGUGAGUAACACGUGGAUAACCUACCUAUAAGACUGGGAUAACUUCGGGAAACCGUAGCUAAUACCGGAUAAUAUUUUGAACCGCAUGGUUCAAAAGUGAAAGACGGUCUUGCUGUCACUUAUAGAUGGAUCCGCGCUGCAUUAGCUAGUUGGUAAGGUAACGGCUUACCAAGGCAACGAUGCAUAGCCGACCUGAGAGGGUGAUAGGCCACCCUGGAACUGAGACACGGUCCAGACUCCUACGGGAGGCAGCAGUAGGGAAUCUUCCGCAAUGGGCGAAAGCCUGACGGAGCAACGCCGCGUGAGUGAUGAAGGUCUUCGGAUCGUAAAACUCUGUUAUUAGGGAAGAACAUAUGUGUAAGUAACUGUGCACAUCUUGACGGUACCUAAUCAGAAAGCCACGGCUAACUACGUG
rnacentral:rRNA from 1 species